rnacentral:lncRNA from 1 species
GAGAUUGGGUCGAGACAUAACUUUAAGUUUUGAGUUGACAAUCACUAUAGUUGGAAAACAUGCACUGGUUUUCAACAAAGCCAAGACGAUACGAGAGAUAUCGAGCUUCCAUGGCCUUCAGAUCUUUGACACUUUCAUGUUCACCAUGAGCCUUAUAGAUUCAUGGAGAACCUAUCAACUUUGACGAUCGAACCGUCACGUAAAUAUGGGCGGUAGUGAUUGAAUCCAUGAAUCACUGAAUUCUGAGUAGGCAGUCAGAUGAGUUAACUCAAACUUCUUUUAAAAAAUAGAAAAGACAGAGAUGGAAGAUAUCAUGCGUGAUAGAGUGAAGAUGACUAUACCUUUUCAUCUAGGAAAAGGAGGAUGAUUCUCAUAAAUACACCGAUUUCUUGAUGUUAAGGGAAUCCCAAAAGCCGAGGAGGCAACAAACAUUGAAUUGAGAAGUUCUACCAAGUCGGAGAGCUUUAAAGGUUGAGUGGGGAUGGCUGAUUGAGCAACAACAUCAGAGGAAGACAUACAAGAUAUUUUCGAAGGAGGCUUCUAGGUUUUGGCGAGAAGAUAAAUAAGAGAGCUUGUUGGUGUAGCUUGAUUCCAUUCUCAUUCCUCUCCUAUUUAUAGGGUUUGAGGUGUUUCUUCGGUUUUGAUAUGAAGCUUCAAUUGUAAAGAAAGGGAGACAGAGAGUUUAUGGGAAUGAAUAGCUUUAAUGAAAACUGAAGAUUCAUUGUAUAUGUUAAGAGAGAAACGUUGAACAAAGGGUAAGCAAGAGACAGAGAUGAAGAGAUAGGGAGAAGUAGAAAGAUGAGAGGAAGGAUUUUUUUUUAAGAACAACGGAUGAGACAGUGAUGUUGAAUCCUCGAAGAAGAAGACGACUUCCGACCUAAUCAACUUUAACUUUAAACGCAAAGUUUAGCUUUCUUUGGGAUACAAAACAAAACCUUAUUUAAUAAGAAGGCUUGACAUAUGGGCUUCGAGAUAAAUCAUCCCACAAAUAAUAUAAUGAAAUAAGCCCA